AUGUUACUGGUGGAGGAACGGAAACAACGGAGAAAACAUCGUGGAGGUGUUGCGGAGGCUGCAAUCGGAGGGAGGAGCUUCAUCAACAGAGCGUUGCCUUUAUGGUGGCGGAAGAUUGAAGAGUGUGCAGUUGGAUGUGUAGCUUGGUUUGUCUUGCCUGAGAGAAGAUAUUUCGACGUCGGUGUUUCGGCGAAUCUCAGAUUCUUCUUUUUUCCUGUGGUGAAUUUUGAAAUAUGGUGUUAG
rnacentral:lncRNA from 1 species